AUGAGAGAUUUACCCGGACAAAGCUGGGAAAGAUAUCUGUUGGGAAAAAACAAAGUUGCGGGAAAUAUUUAUUCCGACAAACUUUCGUUUGGCAAGAUCUAUAAAACAAUCGUUCGCUGGGAAAAGAUCUAUCCUGACAAAAUUUCUCCCUAAGAGAUAUAUAUCGACAAACUUUCACUGGGAAAGAUCUAUCUCAACAAAAUUUAGCCGGCCAAAAACAACUUUCGCCAGGAAAGAAUUAUACAUACAAAUCAAUUCAACACCUCAAUUUUUGAUUGCUGCUAAACGAACCCUAUAAUUAACUGAGUACACCCUAUAA
rnacentral:lncRNA from 1 species